GAUGAACGCUGGCGGCGUGCCUAACACAUGCAAGUCGAGCGAUUCUCCUCGGAGAAGAGCGGCGGACGGGUGAGUAACGCGUGGGUAACCUGCCCUGUACACACGGAUAACAUACCGAAAGGUAUGCUAAUACGAGAUAAUAUGCUUUUAUCGCAUGGUAGAAGUAUCAAAGCUCCGGCGGUACAGGAUGGACCCGCGUCUGAUUAGCUAGUUGGUAAGGUAACGGCUUACCAAGGCGACGAUCAGUAGCCGACCUGAGAGGGUGAUCGGCCAGACUGGGACUGAGACACGGCCAAGACUCCAACGGGAGGCAGCAGUCGGGAAUUUUGCUCAAUGGGCGCAAGCCUGAAGCAGCAACGCCGCGUAAGUGAUGAAGGCCUUCGGGUUGUAAACCUCUUUUUCCAGGUACGAUGAUGACGGAACCUGGAGAAUAAGCCACGGCUAACUACGUGCCAGCAGCCGCGGUAA
rnacentral:rRNA from 1 species